CGUGUAGGCUGCUUGGAAAGUCGGAUGUGAAAGCCCUGGGCUCAACCUAGGAAGUGCAUUCGAAACUUUCAAGCUCGAGUUUCGGAGAGGAAGGCGGAAUUCUCGGUGUAGAGGUGAAAUUCGUAGAUAUCGAGAGGAACAUCGGUGGCGAAGGCGGCCUUCUGGACGAUGACUGACGCUGAGACGCGAAAGCGUGGGGAGCAAACA
rnacentral:rRNA from 1 species